rnacentral:lncRNA from 1 species
CUCCGUGUCAACUCGGAAAGGCCGGUGUCCCUGGAACACAGACGCCUCACGAGCCCCGAAAACGCAAUCAGGUGCCAGAGCUGCUCGCCUGCGUUUGUCCGGCCGAAUCUACCCGCUCGGAGGAGAGCUCUGCCCACCGCUCCGGCGCUGAGGCCAUCGCCCAAGCUCUUUGCGAAAUUUUCUUGGGAAAACUGACACUGAGCCCCCAGUGAAGCAGCAAAGACUGCUUUACAGAAUUUUAUAACUUGCCAGUCCCCCUAUGAACGCGGGGAAAGGGACGCGAGAGGUAGUGGCCGAGAAACGUCGGAAUGCCUUUACCUUUACCUUUCUUCCGGAGUGCCAGAUCCUUUACCUUUUAGGAAUAAGAUAGCAUCCUGAUAAAUAUCGUGGACAUGAAGUAGCGCAUGCAGGUGAAGGAUCUCAGAUGUGUGCCCCAGUCUCCUCAUGUGUAAAACAGAUGACGUUUAACUGCAAGGCACAUGACGGGCAGCCUUCUGAGGCUCUGGAGGCUUCAUAGUGGCAGAGUGAGAGGUCCAGUGAAAACUCAGGCUCCAGGCAACAGGAGCUGGGGUAUUAAAAGAAGGUGACAAAUCUCAUCCUUACGGGAGUUCCCAGCCAAGAACUUCGAAGGGUAGAGGGAAAAUUAUUUUUCCUUCUCUAGAAGAAUAAUGGUCACCUAGGACUGGAAAAACAAUUCUUUAAUGAAGACAGAGAAACCCCCGAAAAGACAGAAGGAAGUUGGUGAAAAGAACAAGAGGAAAGCUGAGGAAGGGACUUGGCCAAUAAAGCACAGGAUAAAAGUGUGUCAGAGGUCUCUAUCCAGGCCAUCGGUCUGAGAGAGCAGACAUUCCCUGAGGGUGGGAGAGAGCUCUCUGCAGACAUGACCUAAAGGGAUCAGAAGCCCCUUUUCAUGAAUCCAAGGGCAGAGGCCUGCAUGGGUAGACCAGGUGCCCAGGAGGCUGCAAAUGUCAAUACAGGGAAAUGCUGCUUCUAGUUUCCUCAUAGAAAUUUUCUUGACCGGGAAACAGAGUAUGCUGGCUAAUAUACUUCCUCCCUAAGGACAGUAAGUAUGACUCCAUGCCUUCCUUGGUUAUUCCUGAGGAAGGACUUCUGAGGGCUUUGCUUGACAUACUUCAAAGUUCCUCCUCUGAGCUCAGAGCAGCAUCUAAAGAAAAGAUGUCACAGCUGGAUACAUCUUUUGCAGAUUGGGGAAGCGCGCCUCCCUCGGAAAUGACUGCUAGGGUCAUCUAAUUCUUGAAGGAAGCGAUCUUAGAAAGGCCAAGAAAGGAAAGGGGAAAAAUGGAGGAAGUGCAGGACAAACAGAUAAGGAAAUGAAAAAUGUUUAUUUUGGCAAAGUGGCUUAUCUUUUACGUGAUAAAGAAGAAGAGUAGGACAGCCAAGCC